rnacentral:rRNA from 1 species
GUUAUAUGGUCAAGCGAAUAAGCGCACACGGUGGAUGCCUUGGCGGUCAGAGGCGAUGAAGGACGUGGCAGCCUGCGAAAAGUAUCGGGGAGCUGGCAACAAGCUUUGAUCCGGUAAUGUCCGAAUGGGGAAACCCACCCGCUUGCGGGUAUCCUGCAGUGAAUACAUAGCUGCUGGAAGCGAACCUGGUGAACUGAAAUAUCUAAGUAACCAGAGGAAAAGAAAUCAACCGAGAUUCCGUCA